rnacentral:rRNA from 1 species
CCUACGGGAGGCAGCAGUGGGGAAUUUUGCGCCAUGGGGGAAACCCUGACGCAGCAACGCCGCGUGGAGGAUGAAGUCCAUUGGGACGUAAACUCCUUUCGAUCGGGACGAAUCAUGACGGUACCGGAAGAAGAAGCCCCGGCUAACUCCGUGC